CUAAAAUCUACCACAUUUGUUACUGCCGCAUCUUGUAGAAGAAAAUCCCACCAUCAGCCAUGGCUGAAACCAGGUGGAGCCGCUGUCGCAAAAAGGCCGAAUGAGCCUAGAACCUUCGGAGGGAAAGAGCAACCACCAUAGGCAGCACCUUUGCGUCGAUUCACAGCACCCGAACCAAAACCAUUGCACGACCCCCUUACAUCACUGUCAAUCGAAGCCUAUGCAUUUAAAGCCUGAGCUAUUAUCGUAGAGGGGUUGUCAUAGUCCCGAUUGAACCGAUAAUAACACCGCUGCGCCAAGCGCCCAAAUUUACCACAGAAUUGGCACAGGAUCUGAGAGUGAAAACCCCUUCCAUUGCCACCAGUAAAGGAGUGACCACCACGCGCGGGUUCCACCGCUAUCGGCGUCGGAGCAACCUCCAUCAGAUUUGCAUGAAACGGCACGUCCUGCGCCACACGAGUCUGUCGAAUCUUAUAUUCCAAUAGAACAUCCACAAGUUGUUGCAUGGGAAGUAGCUCGAACGAGAACGAGGCUAGAGUGGGAACAACGUCGUGCUCCGAUGGCAGGCCCACAAGAACAAUUUUCACCUUCUCAGCCUCCGAGAUUCGAGAUCUAGAUGCUUCGAUCAAGGCACAAGUAUUUUGAAUCUUAGCCACAUAUUCUUUCAUUAUCAUAUUACCUUUUUUAAUCGAAUGCAACUCAUGUUUAAUGCGAGAUAACUUUGCUCCGGUUACAGCGGCGAACAAUCGGUUUGCUGUACUCUAUACAUCACAUGAUGAUUUUUCAUCUGUAAAACACGAAAGAAGAGUACCACUAAUUGUGGACAACAACCAGGAUGCAAGUAACUUAUCUUGCUGAUGGAACAAUGAAGCCUCUAGAUUAGGAACCAGAGGACCCUCCAAAGAUGGAAUAAACCAUGGUGGAGCAGAAAUGGACUCGGUUGAGUUAGCCAUGAACGCGCAGCACGAGCAAGUCUCCAAGACUUAGGGGAAAGAUACCAUAUACAUUUUGUAGAAAUCAGGAGAUCGAAUCUGCUCGAAGAAUCACACUAUCUCGAGGAACUCUUUGGUAGAUUUGUAAAAACCUUGGCUUAUAUGGCAUGUAAUAGGCAAAUGAUUAUGUUUGUAAUGUUUCAUAGCUAUAUGUGGCGAUUUGAUA